UCAGGAGCUACCGUGCGAAGAGGUCACACCCGUUCCCAUACCGAACACGGAAGUUAAGCUCUUCAGCGCCGAUGGUAGUCGGGGGUUUCCCCCUGUGAGAGUAGGACAUCGCCAGGC
rnacentral:rRNA from 1 species